AACGAACGCUGGCGGCGUGCCUAACACAUGCAAGUCGAGGGAGAAAGUCCGCAAGGAUGAGUAAACCGGCGAACGGGUGCGUAACACGUGGAUAAUCUACCUUCCUGACUGGGAUAACUGGCCGAAAGGCUUGCUAAUACCAGAUAAGCCCACGGGCGCUUCGGCGCUUGAGGGAAAAGGUGGCCUCUGCAAGCAAGCUAUCGCAGGGAGAUGAGUCCGCGGCCCAUCAGCUCGUUGGCGGGGUAAAAGCCCACCAAGGCUACGACGGGU
rnacentral:rRNA from 1 species